ACCUGAAAUUCUGAGUUUGGUAACCAUUAGCAUAGAAGGAAAACUUAACACCGUGAAAUCUCUUUUAAGAGAGGAAAGCAGGGUAAUAUAGUGGCAAAUGGCUGGGGAGAAGUGAAAAAUGAUGAUGCGGGGAAGGUUCGGAGGGUAUCAUAAAACCAGAGAGCCCCAAAGUCCAGCUGUUCUACGAUGUGGUGUACAGUGGGGGAGAGGGCUCUAUCCUCUACCUUGGUUCCUUCAGUGUGGCACCUCCACUCAGUAUUCCCAAAGCCUGGUAGCCAAGGAACAAGGAGGAUAGAAGGGAGGUGAGAGGAAUGUUGUAAAUGCGCUUAGAUUUCUUUUUGCACUUUGACACACAUAAUCUCAUUGUCUUUUCUGAGAGUGGAUGGCCGAAGGUACCAGAGCUAUUAAUGGAGCUUCUGUGAAUGCCUGAGGCAACAACAGAGGUAAGCUUUUUCCAGGUCCUACCAACCUGCCGGUUGAGGCCCCUGCAGUGCACAGAGAAGGGUGGGGAAGGGACCGCGGUCCCCCUCCCCCCUCUCCCUACUCCCUCAUCCCCAGCUGCACACAGACCACGGCCUCAUCCCAGGGAGGGAAAGGCCACUCCCCGCCUAUCAUCUCUCUUGAGUCUCCACCAGCCUGGUGGGAGGAGAAGGGGCAGCAGGGAUGUCUCCUCUGCAGCUGCUGUUCACACAGAACAGGACGGUCCCUCUCCCGUCUCACCCUGGGUCUCCAGCUAAGGAUCCUUUAAAGUAAUCUUGAACAUUAGAAAAUACAGUGAAGGUGGCAAAGAGAAGAGAGCCUUGUCUACGCUCGGUGUUCUGUGGACGUCUGGAUGAUUGAUAGUCCGACACUUGACAGAAAAGGACUUCCCUGGUGGUGCAGUGGUUAAGAAUCCGCCUGCCAAUACAGGAGACACGGGUUCGAGCCCUGGUCCGGGAAGAUGCCAUAUGCCACAGAGCAACUAAGCCCGUGCGCCACAACUACUGAAGCCUGCACGCCCUAGAUCCUGUGCUCCACAACGAGAAGCCACCACAUUGAAAAGGCUGCACCACAACGAAGAGUAACCCCUGCUCGCCACAACUUGAGAAAGCCCGUGCGCAGCAACAAAGACCCAAUGCAGCCAAAAAUAAAAUAAAUAAAUAAAUUUAUAAAAUAAAUAAAUAAAUAAAAUUUGUUUAUCUAUUUUCACUUUGGAAACAGAAAGUGCUGUCUUUAGAAAGGAGCAGAUACCAGUCUAUGUGCCAAACCUGGGUACGUGCCUUCUCUUUAAUAGCUGGCCUUAAACAGGCCCUUUUCAUACUUCAGAACAGAUUGCCAUGGUGAUCUCGAUAAAGACCUAACCCUAGUCAGAUAGGAAAUACUGAACUCUGCAUUUUGAACCAUUCAGGUGGCUUAGGAGAUGCUCAAUCAACUAUCUCCAAAGAAAAUCCAUGGAAACCACUCAAAUGAUGUUGCCAUUUUGUUUCCAAGAUUAUUGUCUCCAUCUGAAGAUUCUUCUAUGUUCUCGGGCCAAACCUAAGUCAUAAUAGGCUGAGGGUCAGACCCAGAGAAGAGGUGGGCUGAGGAAAAGAAACAAGGAGCAACGUCAAACAGAAAUGGGGAAGUGCAUUCCUGAUCGUGGGUCUCUAGCGGCUCAUUGGCUUUAGGGGUUGCCAAGCCAGGGACCUCACUCUUCAGAUUUGUCAAAGUGGCAGGGGACCUGGGCUGGUCCUGGAAGAAGUCUCUUCAUCCACAGCCAUCAUAGCUGACAGCUCCUUCAAAAUUAAAGAGUCUUAGGAAGAGUAGCAGUUCAUAAGGAGAAGCAUGAAUGAAUUUAUGUUCUACUAAAAAAAAAAAAAAGAAAGACAA